rnacentral:lncRNA from 1 species
AGGCAGAGGGAGAAGCAGGCUCCAUGCACCGGGGGCCGACGUGGGAUUUGAUCCCGGGUCUCCGGGAUCGCGUCCUGGGCCAAAGGCAGGCGCCGAACCGCUGCGCCACCCAGGGAUCCCCCAAGUCUCUUUCUAAAGAAGCUUAAUUUCAGCAGCAACAUGGAGGCGGCANCGACGUGGGAUUCGAUCCCGGGUCUCCGGGAUCGCGCCCUGGGCCAAAGGCAGGCGCCAAACCGCUGCGCCACCCAGGGAUUCCCCAAGUCUCUUUUUAACGAAGCUUAAUUUAAGCAGAAACAUACAGGAGGAGGAAAAUGUCAGCUACCCCAUGAAGGAGGCACCCAGAGAGAAUGUACACUGACCAUCCACUGCUGAGGGCCGUGAACAUUCCAGUAUAUCUCCCCAAUACCUGCCAUCCUGGCCUUCUGUCUUUUAAGCGGAGCCCAGCAGAAGGCCAACCGAUGUGUGGGUGUGCAAAUUAGUUACCUUGGCCCUGGUCCUGGCAGGCACAGCAGAAGGUGAGUUUGUUGAGGGUUUGAGGAGAAAACGUGGGGUCCCUGGCUUGCUAAAAAGCCAUCCUAGUUCUAUAUCUUAGUUCUCUCUACAAUCCCCAGGGGGUUCAUUCACUUGCAAGAGUGCCAUCAGUGCAUUCAAUUGAAACUCCCAGAUUCAGUGAGAGGAGCUCCAGGCCAGAGUGGCAGCCACAUGCACCCCUCCACCCCCCUGGUCCUGGCUGCUGAGCCAGUCCAGAAAAAGGGUUUUGCAGGCUGGGAACUUGGAAGGCCAG